rnacentral:rRNA from 1 species
GAUGAACGCUGGCGGCGUGCCUAAUACAUGCAAGUCGAGCGAACGGACGAGGAGCUUGCUUUUCUGAUGUUAGCGGCGGACGGGUGAGUAACACGUGGAUAACCUACCUAUAAGACUGGGAUAACUUCGGGAAACCGGAGCUAAUACCGGAUAAUAUUUUGAACCGCAUGGUUCAACAGUGAAAGACGGUCUUGCUGUCACUUAUAGAUGGAUCCGCGCUGCAUUAGCUAGUUGGUAAGGUAACGGCUUACCAAGGCAACGAUGCAUAGCCGACCUGAGAGGGUGAUCGGCCACACUGGAACUGAGACACGGUCCAGACUCCUACGGGAGGCAGCAGUAGGGAAUCUUCCGCAAUGGGCGAAAGCCUGACGGAGCAACACCGCGUGAGUGAUGAAGGUCUUCGGAUCGUAAAACUCUGUUAUUAGGGAAGAACAUAUGUGUAAGUAACUGUGCACAUCUUGACGGUACCUAAUCAGAAAGCCACGGCUAACUACGUG